CACGUAGGGCGCAAGCGUUGUCCGGAAUUAUUGGGCGUAAAGAGCUCGUAGGCGGUCUGUUACGUCUGCUGUGAAAACCCGGGGCUUAACCCUGGGCUUGCAGUGGAUACGGGCAGACUAGAGGCAGGUAGGGGAGAAUGGAAUUCCCGGUGUAGCGGUGAAAUGCGCAGAUAUCGUAAGGAAGACCAGUGGCGAAGGCGGGUCUCUGGACAGUUCCUGACGCUGAGGCACGAAGGUCAGGGGAGCAAACGGG
rnacentral:rRNA from 1 species